AUUGAACGCUGGCGGCAGGCCUCACACAUGCAAGUCGAACGAGUGGCGGACGGGUGAGUAAUGUCUGGGAAACUGCCUGCUGGAGGGGGAUAACUACUGGAAACGGUCGCUAAUACCGUAUACCAUCAUGUGUGCCCAGAUGGGAGUAGCUAGUGGGUGGGGUAAAGGCUCACCAAGGCGACGAUCCCUCGCUGGUCGGAGAGGAUGACCAGCAAGACUGGAACUGAGAAACGGUCCAGACGCCUACGGGAGGCAGCAGUGGGGAAUAUUGCACAAUGGGCGCAAGCCUGAUGCAGCCAUGCCGCGUGUAUGAAGAAGGCCUUCGGGUUGUAAAGUACUUUCAGCGGGGAGGCGUUACCCGCAGAAGAAGCACCGGCUAACUCCGUGCCAGCCGCCGCGGUAAUAC
rnacentral:rRNA from 1 species